rnacentral:rRNA from 1 species
UAAUACGGAGGGUCCAAGCGUUGUUCGGAAUCAUUGGGCGUAAAGCGGGUGUAGGCGGCUUGGCAAGUCGGAUGUGAAAUCCCAGGGCCCAACCCUGGAACUGCAUUCGAAACUGCCUAGCUAGAGUCGCGGAGAGGAUGGCGGAAUUCCCGGUGUAGGGGUGAAAUCCGUAGAUAUCGGGAGGAACACCAGUGGCGAAGGCGGCCAUCUGGACGCUGACUGACGCUCAGACCCGAAAGCGUGGGGAGCAAACAGGAUUAGAUACCCUGGUAGUCCACGCCGUAAACGUUGAGUGCUCGUCGUCGCGGGUAUUGACCCCUGCGGUGACCAAGCUAACGCGAGAAGCACUCCGCCUGGGGAGUACGGUCGCAAGACUA